rnacentral:rRNA from 1 species
GUGUCAGCAGCCGCGGUAAUACGUAGGUGGCAAGCGUUAUCCGGAAUUAUUGGGCGUAAAGCGCGCGCAGGUGGUUUCUUAAGUCUGAUGUGAAAGCCCACGGCUCAACCGUGGAGGGUCAUUGGAAACUGGGAGACUUGAGUGCAGAAGAGGAAAGUGGAAUUCCAUGUGUAGCGGUGAAAUGCGUAGAGAUAUGGAGGAACACCAGUGGCGAAGGCGACUUUCUGGUCUGUAACUGACACUGAGGCGCGAAAGCGUGGGGAGCGAACAGGAUUAGAUACCCUGGUAGUCCACGCCGUAAACGAUGAGUGCUAAGUGUUAGAGGGUUUCCGCCCUUUAGUGCUGCAGCAAACGCAUUAAGCACUCCGCCUGGGGAGUACGGUCGCAAGACUGAAACUUAAAUGAAUUGGCGGGG